UACCAGCACCCCGAGUGGUCGGGACGUUUUUUGGGCCUAAAGCAUCCGUAGCCGGUUCUACAAGUCUUCCGUUAAAUCCACCUGCUUAACAGAUGGGCUGCGGAAGAUACUAUAGAGCUAGGAGGCGGGAGAGGCAAGCGGUACUCGAUGGGUAGGGGUAAAAUCCGUUGAUCCAUUGAAGACCACCAGUGGCGAAGGCGGCUUGCCAGAACGCGCUCGACGGUGAGGGAUGAAAGCUGGGGGAGCAAACCGG
rnacentral:rRNA from 1 species